rnacentral:tRNA from 1 species
AGCGGCGCUAGCUCAGUUGGAUAGAGCGCCCUUUUCGCAAAGGGGUUGUCGGGGGUUCGAGUCCCUCGCGCCCUU